AGUGAACGCUGGCGGUAGGCCUAACACAUGCAAGUCGAACGGCAGCACAGUAAGAGCUUGCUCUUACGGGUGGCGAGUGGCGGACGGGUGAGGAAUACAUCGGAAUCUACUUUUUCGUGGGGGAUCACGUAGGGAAACUUACGCUAAUACCGCAUACGACCUACGGGUGAAAGCAGGGGAUCUUCGGACCUUGCGCGAUUGAAUGAGCCGAUGUCGGAUUAGCUAGUUGGCGGGGUAAAGGCCCACCAAGGGGACGAUCCGUAGCUGGUCUGAGAGGAUGAUAAGCCACACUGGAACUGAGACACGGUCCAGACUCCUACGGGAGGCAGCAGUGGGGAAUAUUGGACAAUGGGCGCAAGCCUGAUCCAGCCAUACCGCGUGGGUGAAGAAGGCCUUCGGGUUGUAAAGCCCUUUUGUUGGGAAAGAAAAGCAGCAGGUUAAUACCCCGCUGUUCUGACGGUACCCAAAGAAUAAGCACCGGCUAACUUCGUG
rnacentral:rRNA from 1 species